UCAUUUAAGAGCCCUCAUAGAAUGCAUCUCUCUUGGCGUCUACACUCCAUCUCUCCACAUCGCUAUGUCGCCUCUCUCCGCAAAAACCCAGAACGACCGGGCUUGAAAUACUUAGAGAAAAAUGGUAGAUCUUCUUCGCUCGUCGGAAGUCCGCUAUGGAUUUAAAUUGCUCCGUAGUUAUUUUCAUCUCUUCCCAAAGAUCUGAUUUACUUCAAUCUACUUGUUUCAGAUUAUGCGCAAUAAUCGAUUUUGAAUCUUGGCUAUUGGAGCAUGUUUUCACUUGCAAAUGGCCUAAUUUUUCAAGCAACUUACUAAUCCAUCUUCGGACAUGUCGAGAUGCUAGCACAAGAGAUAAAAAGGAGCUGCAUCAGUUGAAGCAGUAGAAGACAAAAUAUGGCAGGAUAUACAUUAUGGUGUUUAAAAACUUAGCAUGUGACAAGACUUCAUUGUGAUCAAGAAUUGAAGAAUCUUUUAUGUCUUUUAUUGUCUUGUUAUAGUUAUUUGAUAGCACAAUUUAUUAGAUUCAAAAUAAUACUAUUUAGAUUCAAAUAUAUUAGCAUUUUUGUUAAGUUGACACUUUGAAUUUAUGAAUUAAUAUUUAUUUUUGUUUGUUGUGGAUUA